rnacentral:lncRNA from 1 species
AAUCCGUUCGAAUAUUUCCUACCUAUGCUGCACACAAGAACUUUGAGGUCUACCAAAUGGAUGUAAAGUGCGCAUUUCUAAUGGAGAACUUGAAGAAANUUACCUAUGCUGCACACAAGAACUUUGAGGUCUACCAAAUGGAUGUAAAGUGCGCAUUUCUAAAUGGAGAACUUGAAGAAACGGUGUACGUGGAGCAACCUCCGGGAUUCGUCAAUGAAAAGUACCCCAAUCACUUCUAUAUUUUGGACAAAGCGGUUUAUGGUCUGAAACAAGCACCUAGGGCCUGGUAUGAAAUGCUAACCAAGUUUUUAAAGAUGUCCAAAUUCAAACAAGGUUCGGUUGACCCAACCUUCUUUCGUAAGAAGGAAGGUAACCACCUUAUGAUUGUUCAAAUCUAUGUCGAUGAUAUCAUCUUUGGCUCAACGAAUCCU